GAUGAACGCUGGCGGCGUGCCUAAUACAUGCAAGUCGAGCGAACAGACGAGGAUCUUGCUCCUCUGACGUUAGCGGCGGACGGGUGAGUAACACGUGGAUAACCUACCUAUAGGACUGGGAUAACGUCAGGAAACCGGAGCUAAUACCGGAUAAUAUAUUGAACCGCAUGGUUCAAUAGUGAAAGACGGUUUUGCUGUCACUUAUAGAUGGAUCCGCGCCGCAUUAGCUAGUUGGUAAGGUAACGGCUUACCAAGGCGACGAUGCGUAGCCGACCUGAGAGGGUGAUCGGCCACACUGGAACUGAGACACGGUCCAGACUCCUACGGGAGGCAGCAGUAGGGAAUCUUCCGCAAUGGGCGAAAGCCUGACGGAGCAACGCCGCGUGAGUGAUGAAGGUCUUCGGAUCGUAAAACUCUGUUAUUAGGGAAGAACAAAUGUGUAAGUAACUAUGCACGUCUUGACGGUACCUACACAGAAAGCCACGGCUAACUACGUG
rnacentral:rRNA from 1 species